rnacentral:rRNA from 1 species
GACGGAAGGUGCAAGCGUUGCUCGGAAUCACUGGGCGUAAAGGGUGCGUAGGCGGCCGCGCAAGUCUGGCGUGAAAGCCCCGGGCUCAGCCCGGGAAGGGCGCUCGAAACGGCGCGGCUCGAGUGCCGGAGGGGAGAGUGGAAUUCCUGGUGUAGCGGUGAAAUGCGCAGAUAUCCGGAGGAACACCGGUGGCGAAGGCGGCUUCCUGGACCGACACUGACGCUGAGGCGCGAAAGCUAGGGGAGCAAAACGGG